rnacentral:lncRNA from 1 species
UCUGUUAUUAAACAGAUUUUUUUUUUUUUUUUUUAAGGAGCACAAGGAGUGCCUGGGGCUUGUGCACCUCUGAGCAUGUCUUCUUGAGUGUUGAGAUACUAAAGGAGUUUGUUGGCCCAGAUUUCUCAGAAGUAUGUGAUGUUCAGCCAUGGGCACUUUUGGAUAUAUUCAGCUAAGUGCAAAGUACAAGGCAGUAACUGUUGACCUCUACUGUCAAGUCUGCUGGUUGAUUAUACACAUACAAGGAACAUUAUGUGGAUGGAGUCCAUCUAGAG